GGGAGGGGCUGCGGAAGCGGAGCGCGCAGCCCUGCGUGGCGCCCGCCCGUACCACCUGGGAUGCUCCCUGCGCCUGCGUGGACACCCGGACGUUCGGGAGUCGGGACGUCAGGACACCCGCUGUUGGAUCGCGAUUCCCGGGAGCUCGCCGAGCCCUGAAGAUCCCCGGAAAACGCAAGCAAGACGUUUUUAUUCGGAGAGGGCAUGGGUACUAUUCAAAUAGUCUCUGAAAUACUUGAGAGUCUUUGAAGACGAUGUAGACUGCGUAUGUUUUGAAGAUAUCCACAUCAGAGAGAAGGAAAAGGAUCCAUUUCAUUCAAAAUUUUUUAAGGAAAUAAAAAAACAAGUGGUUCCCAUCUUCUGUAAGAAGUGUUUUGGCAAUUACAGAGCAGUAAAUCUAUACUUACCUCUUAUACAAACAACAACAACAAAAAACUAUAGUCUUUGCUUAGAAUAAACAGCUU